CAUUGGCUUUGGACGUAGCAACUGUCAGUUAAAUACAAUCCCAACGAUGACUUUGAGACAUUAUACAUAUUAAAAAAGUGCUCCAUAACAACAGCAGCAACACCACUAAGGAUCAAAAUGCCACUAAGUACAAGUAACACAGGCCAUACAUCACCUGGAUUUGUUCAUCAGAGAAUUAGUAGGAAGUAUAAACAGUAUUUCACUCCUAAUGACCACAGAGAGGGCGCAACACACUGAGUAAGGCUCGCCCUCUGCCCACUACAUCAGACUGUGGCAACAACACCACAAUAUGACUGUGUAAUAAUUUUAAUAGUCCAUUUUAAAUUAAUAGCAAAAAAAAAAGUGUUUGCAUAAUAAUGAGCUCUGCAAUUAAUCUAGGUGGGUACACCCCCCUUUAGUCAAACCCCGCAACACAGAGGGCGUCGCUGCCGCCAGCUUGGAGCAAAAUUUACAGGAAAAAAUUUAAAGAUUAUUGCAAAAUAAGCUAGCAGUUUACGUAAACCAGACAGCUUUUAUUCAGACUUAUUCUAUAGCUUUGUCACUAUGAAAACAAACCCUCAGUGCAUGGGAACAUUAAAAAAAGAUCACUUUUUCUUCAAAUUCUAUUGUGAUAGCGAUUACAGCAGCAAGAGCUGUCACUGUCGACUCCAAAGCAACUCCAUUUUCUUUCACUCCAUCCAAUCACAGAGCUUCCGCUUUGCUUCUCGCUGUGUGUGUGUCAGAGAGGCUCCAGCUUCACCAUAAUUUACCGCAGAGUCAUCUUCACUGCUGCUGGGAAAAACAGAAGCUGCCUGGGCUCAGUCUUUUUAAUACACACACAUGCUCGAAGAUGUGUUUUAUGGUCCCCAUGCAUCCAUGCUUUCUAUGUAUAAAAGAAUUAAAGAAAAGAAAAACCAGGAAGAUUUUUUUCUUCCUAUUUUUGGUAGCUCAAAGAAUUCUUUUGUUUCAAAAAUAAAAAAAAAAAUAAAAAAUUAAGAUAUAUGUUUGAUUGAAUUAUGUGUUACCAGUCUAAAAACCUGGGACUCCAUAAUAGUUGGAUCACAAACAAAUUUCCGUGCGGUUGUUACAGUCGGGUGUUUUUUCCUUCUUGCAUUCAUCCAUGCAUUUUGUUCUGCUUAUCCUAAUGGAGAGGGGUGGGGGCUGGAGCCUAUCCCAGCUGCCACUGGGUGAGAGGUGGGGCUUACCGUGGACAGGUUUCCAGCAUGUCGCAGGACUAACAAAGAGACAGACAACCACUGGCAUUCACAGUCACACAUGCGGGCAAUUUAGAAUCACCAGUUAACCUAACCCCACUAACUGCAUGUCUUUGGACUGUGGGAGGAAGCCGGAGCGCCCAGAGAGCCCACACAGGCAUGGGGAGAGCAUGCAAACUCCACACAGAAAUGCCCCAGCCAGAUGGUGGAUUCAAACCCAGGAGCUUCUUGCUAUGAGGCUUUUGUUAUAAAGUAAAUGUAAAUUAAAUCUUUUUUGAAAAAAUUUAAUAUUUUACAUAUUUACUGAAGAUUUUGGAUUCUGUCUGAUCAUGCUUGGCUGGUGCUUUGCCAAAAAAACAAACAAACAAAAAAACAAACAAACAAAAAACCUGCAAUAAUCUUACACCCAGCCCUGAAAUAGAGAGUGACAGUCAUAAAUAUUCCCCGUCACUUCUCUCCUUCUCUGCCUCUGUGGGAAAACAAUCUUCUCUUCAGGCAGACAGAAGCAGCUCUGCAUACUUACAUGACGUUCACCACCUUAACAGUGCUGUUUAAAGGCUUUGUUACAGGCUGAAAUAACAAUAAUCUGUGUGUCAAUAACACGCUACAUCUGCAGUGCACUGUCAGCCAAACGCCUCGAUGUAGUAUUUGGGUCAUUUGUUUGAGGGGUCUGGGAUGCAUUAGUGUGCGGGUGUCCGUGAGAAACUUGCCACUGCCUUGUCCUCGGAGAUUAUGAUCACGGAGGAACCCACUUUGACAGCUGUGCUGCUUCCUACACAGCAGAGCCCCAAAAUGACGUUUCACCACAGAUUCAUCCCGCUUCUGCUUUUUGGUUCAUUCUUUCUCCGGACAUUUAUUUUAGGGAUGAAUGAGGGACUUUCCUGAUGACUAAUUUAGUAGUUGAUUAAAACAGAACAGAGAGAAAAAAAAAGACAAAAAACACAGCACCAAAAUCUAAUGGAUGUGGUUAAAUAUACAUACAUGAGUGUUGUGUUAUUAAAAACAUUUUAUUUUACAUGAAAUUUCUGGCUUCCAGUGACGUGAAAUGAAAAUGAGGUGUUAUAUAGGCCGCUUCCACUUUUGGAACACAGCUCUCUUGUUUUGCUUUGGUUACAAAACAAACGCACUCCUUUCCUUUACAGAGGUGCAUCUUAGCCCCUCCCUAAAACCUAAACUCACUCACUGCUUAGUUCAGCUCCAGACAAAAUGAGUAAAACAGAGCCCUUAUUCAGUGAGAUUCAUAUACAAAGAAGGUUUCUGUCUUUGUCCUAAUUAAGACUUUCACCUCUUUUGGUGACAUAUGACGGACACCACUACCCCACAGUUAUUCUGAGGCAUAAGCCUGCUACCGCCUCAGCAUCUUUUCUGUGAAUUCACCAUCUGGCCAAGGCCCAUGUCCUCGUGACAUGGACCUCAUGAUCAAAAACACAGCCUACCCUGGCCCUAACCCCUUAAUAAACAACCCUCUUCACGCUAUCAUUUUUGCUUCUCUUUGCUCCAUUUUUAUAUAUUUGUUUGUUUAAAUGGGAAAUAUAUUUAACCUUCACAUAAAUCUCCUUUAAAAGGCAUACAGGAUGAUUUGUUGAGCAUGGCUAACAUUAGCAGCAGCAGCAGGCUGUGUAGUCGACACGAUUCAGUCAUGUUUUUAUGCUGGCGGUGUCUGUGAGAAGGAGCGAGUAAUCAAAUCUCACACUGACCUCAAGUCUCAUCAAAAACCUCAACAAUGAGCACAACACCAAAGCCGUUUUCCCACACACAAACCUCUGGUCAUUUUCUCAGGUCGGGAUAUUUUCCACAGUUGUCCGUUUUCAGAUGUAGCACAGCAGGAAAUAGUCUGCUUCAGAUGCACUCACAAUAAUGGAAACAAUCAAUGAGGUUUCCAUGGACCUUGUAAGAAAACUCAGUGUUCUCACAUUCGCCUCAGCUGGGUGAUCUUUAGAAGAGCUUACAACUUCUGAGUGUAUGAAACCUGCAAUGAAUUCAUGACUGCGUUGCCUGUGAUUCAAUUUAAUGACCCCUCACACCGCCCUUCAGUAUUUUGCCUCAACGAAAAUCCUCAAGUGAACUGAAAGCUGGGAGGAAAUAAAAAUGGACAGUUUCCUUUUCCUCUGCAAACCGUCUUGAGGUUUUAGUUUCUUUGUGGUGUAUAAAGAGGACACUGUACAACAGGCCUGCUUCGUCAUUUUUACCUUUCACUCUCAGUUCCUAAAAACUAUCCAAGCUGUGCCACAUAAUCACAGCCAGCCGUAACAUUUCCAUAUAUAUUAAAUGACCUUUCCUUCCCUUGGUAUGGCUUGGCCUGCGCGCCCAGUGAGUCCUUCGCACAUUUAAUCACCCACACUGCCACACCUCAUAGACAGAGUAAUCCACAGAUAGGUGCCAAUGGCAAAAGAUAACCUUUAUCUUAAAGCAUGAGAGCAGGACUAAUCUUUGCAACAUCGCUGACCCAUCUCAUGGUUAUUGUCACCUAGAGCCAACAGGGAUCAGGUUAAGUUGAUGAAAGACUGUUGGUCAUGAGACAUGCUUCUGAAUUUAUAAGCCGAUGUAAAAUUAUCUGCUCUGAUCAUGUUUACAGGAAAAAGCUUCUCUUAGACUCUUUAAGAGGGAAUUGAUAAACAUCAGAUGCCACUCGAGGAUGCUCUGGAACAAACUGAAAUGUCAGACCAGAAUAAACUUAAGUUUUUCUACAUCAAAGAAAACACUGCAAGCAACCACUAUUAAAGAAUGCACGAGUGAAAAGCGCAGCUGCAGGGAAACAGCAGGAACAUCCGCCAUGUGUGCUUAAAAGGACUGCGUGGUGGUGAUGGAGACUUUCUGAAACUGACUUUAAGACAAACAAUACACAAAUUCCCUCUUCACCAUCACUGAAACACAUCCAACAAAUAUAGCGCUAAGGCUUCAAAGACGGCUUCUUUACUGGUCUCACCAUGUUAAAGCCAGACUGUCCAGUGCAUAGGCUGCAGUCAACAGAAUAUAAUCAAAUAAAUCUGCAUGUGAAUAGCCAUCAGAUUAAAAAUCAUAAUAGUUCCUCUUUAAUUUGAUCCUGUCAUAUAUACUGUUCAUGCUAAACAUCGAUCAUCUGCCACUUAUCUGGGUUGUGGGGGUAGCAAGCUGAGACUCCUCCUCCAGCUCUUCCGGAGAACAACGAGGCGUUCCCAAGCCGCUGAGACACAGGGCCAGAUUUACAAAUGGUAUGUGCCGGUGCAAACGCCUCUUCUGUUAAAAACCCACCGUUGGUAUUCUUGUGGCACAAAAUUUAACAACAACAACAGAAAACUUAUUUUCUGCCUGCUGUGAUGGUGACAGUUGCCACUAGGAGUCUAUAUUAUGUGGAAUGAGAAGGGGAGAUGUUAUCUAAGCAAGUGCAUAACUGCUGCGGGUGGGUGGCUCAAAGCUUUAACUCUAUUCUUUUUACCGAGUCCUCACCUGCAUGUUUAGGGCCAAGCCCCACACGAAUACUGGUAUUUUGAUAAAACAGAGCGCAGCUGAAGUAAACUGAGCGUCAGAAGGAGGAGAAUCCCAACACAAGAUGCAUCCAAGAAGGCGUCUGGCAACGGGAAGCCAUCUUACUUUGUACUGUCCACGUUUGUUGCUAUACACUAACACUACUCUUAAUGUAAACAUCAUUUGACAACACCAUGUGACAAUCUGGGAUGAUUUUUGACUGAACUAUGCAAAACUACAACAAUAAAAAUCUGGAGUUGGAAAUAGAUAUAAUAAUAGGUCACCUUUAACCAACCAUGUGAAAAGUUGAGUAAUCUGUGAAAUUUCUGGCCUCAGUGCUGGUCUUCAGCUUUUUUCCCCUCACGAAAGGAUGUUUCAACAUAUUUCUGAGAAUUUUUUCCCAGCGUUUGCAGCUGAUUUUUAUAUUGAAAACACAUGGAUGAAUUUAGCUCCCCAGUCACUAAUAUCUUCAACAAAUCUGGAAAUGUUUUUCUGAAAAUAUGACUGUUUAUAUACAGAACAUAUAGACGUACAGCUGUGAGCUGCAGGAAUGGUAUUAAAGGUUUCUAUGGAUUUUAUUUCCCUCCAACCACUGUAAAAACUGGUCUCUACAGGAAGCCGAUGACUUCAUGUAGACCACAGCUGGCACUCUCACCGAAACGAGAAACUACACCGCCACCUUUAAAGCGUAAAAAGGGUGAGGGAAUAUGACACUGAAAAGAUGCUGUUGGAUCUGAUAUUGCUAGCACAUAAUCUAAAAGGUCACCGACAGAAACAUGCAAACAUAAUCAAACGUGAUGCUGUGUGUGUGGGUGAGGAAAACAAAGCACAAAAGCAGAGAGCUCCAGAAGCAGCCUGUCACACACAGAGCUGUUUACAGUGGCAGGUAAAUAGCUGUCUGAGCCACAAACUGCACCAAGGGGCUGAUAAAUAAAACAGGGAGGUAAACUCGUAAUUGAAUGUGAAUCAGUAUGUUUUGGAGCUUGUGAAUACCGCUAAGCACAAAUAAAGCUAUUAUCUGUAUUAUUCGCCAUUCCAGUUCAUUCCCCACAGGCACUUUUCCCUCCCCCCCCUAACAGCACCGCCAUUCAGUUAAGAUCUUCUUUUCUAUCAGCGCGGCUGUGGCGGUUAUCAGAAGAGGAACUAUAAUGAAGCAAUCUUCUUUCCCCCCAACCGUGAAAGAGCCCCAAGACCAAUUACUGUGCAGCUCGACAGCCAGGGUGACACCUCCUUCCUCUGUUCUCUCGUCUUUAUUGUCUCAAAUGACAUGGUUUGUUUUUUUAAUCGAGCCUUUUUUUGUUAGUCUGUACAAUGAAUACUGCAAUUACUGACCGGAAGGUUUAUACAGCAACAAGGGAAAUGGUUGAGUAGGUGGAUGCAUGCGUUUCCAAGUCGAAGGGAAUAAUACAGUUUGAUUCCCACAGGGAGACGACUGUGUGCGCGCUGGGUUCAAUCAAUCCACACGGUUCUGUAAAUAAACAGAGGAUCUGAUCUCUUCACAAUGCUUCUCAGGUACAACACAGAAUUCGGUGUGGUAAGCAUUUUCCCUCUCCAUGUUCCUGCUGCUUGCUGCCAGCAUCUGGUGCAGUGCAAAUGUUUGCCUCAAGCUAAAAAUGUAUAAAGCAGAGCAUAUAUCAUUAGCAUAACGCACACAUGCUUUGCAUAAACGACAGCAUAGAGCCAUCACGAGUCAUAAAAAUACCACUUAGCCGACAAAGAACAUGCUGUGUACCUAAAGUGAAGGAUGACAGAUCUAUUAAGGAGAAACUUCGGUUCCCUAAAAUGAGGACCAACAAACCAAAUGUGCACAAUUUGGCAAAAAUAAAUAAAAAUCAAAGAACAUGCCGAGAUCUAAAUCAUAACUGGUGUGUACAGAAGCUUUUUAUAAUUGCUUUAUGAGCAUGGAACUCUAUCAUGGGGUAAUUAUAAACGUUUGCUCUGCUUGAAUAAAAUGAGCUAGAAUUUGUGCUGACAUGCAAACUGGUUGCCUGGGCAGGGACUUGCAAGAACACCGCUUCAGGGAAGAAAACUGCCUAAAAAACAGAUAUGCCUCCGAGACAAAACUGCACCCUCUUGCAAUUUAUGAACUAAAUUAGUCAAGUGUGCAAUGUUAAUACUCUUCAUUUUACAGCCAUCCACUAAAGUCUGUUCAGCUGUAAUUGGAGCCGUCUCUUCAGCCUCUCUGCACCCUCCACAAAGUUACUCUGGGCAGCCAUUUGGUCUCGUGGCUGAGGGAGUGGACUUAUUACCAAAAAGGUUAAGGUUCUCAUCCUGUAGACAGCCUACAAACUGCCAUGCAGGCAUCACCAGCUGUACUCCAAGACCACUGACCCGGAGUCUGCCCGAGCUGGUACGAGAUGAAAAACGCUUGUGCUCGAUGGUUAACGGUGAAUGAACUUUUCUGCCAGGAAACUGAUAACAGAAGAUAUUACUCUCUUGGACAGAAAACAAUAAAAAGAUGAAACAUCUACCAAGACUGCCACUAACCAGUGUUUUGGAGGUGUGAUUACAGAGCUGACAUAUGAAAGGUGAUUACUCCAACAUUUCAGAAAGCGAUUUAUUUUGACAUUCGGUUAAGUGAAAGAGAAGUUUGUUUUUUAACUGCCAAUGUUUUAUUAAAAACAUAAAUUGUGACUGCUGUCAGUGACUGUUAUUGGAAAAGAAACAGAAUAAAAAACAAAACAGAAGUGGAGAAUCUACAGCUGUGUUCGCACAGAAAACAUGAUGACCAGAGGACAUAAAGUCGAUAACAUUUGGUGACAUAUAAAAAUAAUCUUUUUCACUUCACUGUGCAUUAAAUAGGCUUUUAUUCAAGACUGCUGGUUAGACAGAAAGGAAAAACUCCCGAAGAUAGAACUGUGGAAAACUGUGGUCUACAUUUUUCUUCUAAAAAAUAAAUUCAAUCGCGAUACUUUUCACUGACACUUGAGCACGAGAUGUCUCCCAUUUCACAGACAAGCCUAUUUUCAGUGUACCUAUUUUCACGCGCAUCACACCAGUGUAAAUGGCAGAUGAAGGUGAGAAAUUCAGCACGUGCAUCGGUCUCCACAGUGAACUGAACAUCAAAGAAAACCCACAAAAAGAAUUAUGCAUUUUUUUGACCGUAGGAUGCAAAUAACUCAAGUUUAUUUACAUAAAAAACACCGGCAUGCAAAAUUAGCACAGAAAUACGACAAAUCUGUCACCGAGUGAAUGAUCGACCCCAGUGACAGAUGGUGUGUUUUAUAUCUAUCUAUCUGUGUCUUUUUUUCUUGGUCAUCCAGCCUGUCUCUGUAUUUGGGCAGCUGACACAGUGGAGAAACACUUCAUAAAAGGUAUGCUGGUGAAACACCUUGUCUGUAUGUCUAUCAGCAAAGAAAAGGUGUUUGUUUAUCUACAGCACAUCAUAGCACUAAAAUCCCACCAAUAAUAAUUCACUGAUGCUUCCAGACACAAUACGUUUAUCAAUUCAAACACCCGGGAGGUAUUCCUGGAGCCCACCCCCGUCUCUUUUCCUCUGGUCCCUCCGCCCCUUCAUGAAUAUUGAUAAGCCCUCCCUGCUGUGCUUAAUGUUAACGCCAUGAAAAAUUAUACUGGCUGUGUCACUCACACAUAAUCCCCCGAGGGGCACGGCACAAAACCAAUGCACAGCCACCUCAGACACCAAGACGAGCCCAUCAGCGAGAAGAGAAUUAGAGGUCAGAACCUUCGAGAACAACGGCCUCAUUUCUGUGAGAGUCUUGAUGAUGAUGGAGGUGCGUACUCGUGUUAAGGCUGUGAGCCAGCAAGCAUGUGAUGCAGUGUGAAAGGGACAUUUUUCUAACAGCUUGCCUGAUAUCGUCAAGCAGUGACAGCUUAGUUCUGGAAUCAUGUCAACACAAAAGGACAUGCAUAGACCAAAGAAGACCAUUUGCUCCAAAGGUCAGCCAUGUAAUACAUCUGUAAUUCAAACCCCCAACAAAAGGAAGAGAGACAUGUGAGGCAGCUAGCUGACGCUCAAAGCAAGCAGCAAACAAUAACAAGGCCUGCACGAUGGGAUUAUUUUUUACUAGCCUACUGAUAACCUUUCAGUUAAUCUAGUCUUGAAUGUGUCAGAAAACAGAGUAAAACCUGUAUAACAAGAAAGCAGCUGAAGCAAAUUCUCAUAUUUAAGAAUAACACAUGUUUUGUUAUAGUUAUCAGAUAUACUUGUUGGUAUCAUGGGAAACAAAGCUGCAGCAAGAAUAUUAAUCCGAAUAUAAAAUGAGUCUAAUUUAACAUUCCAUGACAUUCCACCUUUCACAGAAGGAAAAUUAUCAGGAUUUAUUCAUUUUAACAUUUUGUUUAUAACAAAAAAAAAAAA